UUGAACGCUGGCGGCAUGCCUUACACAUGCAAGUCGAACGGCAGCACGGGAGCAAUCCUGGGUGGCGAGUGGCGAACGGGUGAGUAAUAUAUCGGAACGUGCCCAGUCGUGGGGGAUAACGUAGCGAAAGCUACGCUAAUACCGCAUACGAUCUAUGGAUGAAAGCGGGGGAUCGCAAGACCUCGCGCGAUUGGAGCGGCCGAUAUCAGAUUAGGUAGUUGGUGAGGUAAAGGCUCACCAAGCCGACGAUCUGUAGCUGGUCUGAGAGGACGACCAGCCACACUGGGACUGAGACACGGCCCAGACUCCUACGGGAGGCAGCAGUGGGGAAUUUGGACAAUGGGCGCAAGCCUGAUCCAGCAAUGCCGCGUGCAGGAUGAAGGCCUUCGGGUUGUAAACUGCUUUUGUACGGAACGAAACGGUGAGCUCUAAUACAGUUUGCUAAUGACGGUACCGUAAGAAUAAGCACCGGCUAACUACGUG
rnacentral:rRNA from 1 species